UGCAAAUAUUGAUAAUGAGAGAGAGACACGAAGCUUGAGUCUCCACCGAUCACCAUUGCAAGCAUUGGCGCUACAUCAAGAAGAACGUAGACUACAAGUGAGCUCGACGCGCUAGGAAUAUUCAUGAUUCUCUGAGUCAUGAUCUUAACCUUCUCCCCAAAACCAGUGACACGAAGCUUAUUCCACAUUUGAAUAGUCAGAACGCUAACUGUAAUGAUCGGGUAUUUUAUGACACGUUAGCAUUUUUAGUUUGAAAAGUCUUAUUUUGUGUG
rnacentral:lncRNA from 1 species